GUGUAACGUGCUCAAAUCCGUCUCUGUUCUAUGAUGUCAUCAGAAAGCGCAUGUUAUUGUUUGGGGAAAGGACUUCUCCCGUUCUCCCGUCUGCUGCUGUAGUGGCAAUUGUCUCCCUUAAGACGGUCUUUAAGGGCAUUGUCGUUUUACCCUACUUCAACUGGCCUAAGUAAAGGGACUGAAGUCAAACCCUCUUGUCUGCGUGGUCAUUUUGAAGAGGAGUUUAGUCUGAAUGUCGACUCUAGCAAGGCGUUAGAGGCAGAGGACAUGACACUA